rnacentral:rRNA from 1 species
GAUGAACGCUGGCGGCGUGCCUAAUACAUGCAAGUCGAGCGAACGGACGAGAAGCUUGCUCCUCUGAUGUUAGCGGCGGACGGGUGAGUAACACGUGGAUAACCUACCUAUAAGACUGGGAUAACUUCGGGAAACCGUAGCUAAUACCGGAUAAUAUUUUGAACCUCAUGGUUCAAACGUGAAAGACGGUCUUGCUGUCACUUAUAGAUGGAUCCGCGCUGCAUUAGCUAGUUGGUAAGGUAACGGCUUACCAAGGCAACGAUGCAUAGCCGACCUGAGAGGGUGAACGGCCACACUGGAACUGAGACACGGCCCAGACUCCUACGGGAGGAAGCAGUAGGGAAUCUUACGCGAUGGGCGAAAGCCUGACGGAGCAACGCCGCGUGAGUGAUGAAGGUCUUCGGAUCGUAAAACUCUGUUAUUAGGGAAGAACAAAUGUGUAAGUAACUGUGAACAUCUUGACGGUACCUAAUCAGAAAGCCACGGCUAACUACGUG